GAGAGGAGGAGCAUGGGGAAUCGGACGGCGGUUUGCGAGCUGAAUUCCUUAAUGACAUCCUCAUUAAAAAGGCUUCACUGCCAAACGCUGUUUGCCUCUGCCUUCGGAAACUGUCUGCAUUAAUAAUGAGGAGCUCCACUUGGAAGGUAUUUACAUAAAGUAUUGUAGUCCUGUCAUGGUUGGAGACAGCAAACACUGUGCUGGUUCAGAUAGCGUGUGGGGGUGGGGGUGAGAGAACAAGAGAUUUGGUAGUCCAAGCAUUCAUAGGAACCAGUGAUGUUUGAGAUUGUAAGAGCAUAAGGAGAGCCUGCUGGAUGAGUCCAGUGGCCCAUCUAGUCCAGCAUCCUGUUCUCACAGUGGCCAGCCAGAUACUUGUUAUGGGAAACCUACAAGCAGGACCUGAGCACAAGAGCAGUCUACUCUCCUGCAGUCUCCAGCAGCUGGCAAUCAGAAGCAUUACUGCUUCUGAUCACAGAUUCCAUUUUGAUUCAACAGGAAGGGCUUUCUUGUUGCAUGAGCUUUUAAUGAGAGCAUUAGGAAGCAGAGAAGGACAGAACAAAUGGUGGCUCUUGCCCAUUGGGACUGGUGGGGCAGAAGACACAGAGACCAACAGCAAGGAGAGCCAGAGCCAAUGACUGGUAAAGCCAGAGUCAAUAAGAGGGGGAGCCAACUUGUUCUUGUUUGUCCCCCAUCCUUCUCCCUGCUGAGUUCUUCAAGGGUAUCACUGAGACUAAGUAGGAAGAAGGUGAUAGCCAGGGCUGAUCGUAAGAAAGCAGGAAGGCAGGUGUGAGGGUUGGCUGUGGGCAGAAUGAGGUGAGUGGGGCAGUGCCCCAUUCAUUCUAGUGGACCAGGCUCCUGAAGCCAGGCGACAAACAACUAUAUUCAUUUUGUAGGCAUCAGAAGAGCCCUGCUGUAUCAAACCAAAAGGCCUGUCCAACCCAGCCCAGUAAGUUAGUUUUCCACACUUGCCAAGCCAGAGAACACAUGGCCCCCCUGUAUAUUUACUCAGGAUGGAUUUAUUUCCAUACCACUUACCAGCUUUAAAAUAUUUCUAAGUGGUGUACAAAAAAACUGAAUCAAUGACAAAAUAUUACAAUAAUGCACAGUUACAAAUAAAAAUGUUACAUCAAUGCAAAGUCACUAAUAUAUAUAAAUUAAUCCAAUUCAUUUUUCUUCUGGGUCCUUCCAGGGUCCAACAAACUCGACUCACCCGCAAAAGUCUCACAAUGAGAAGAGAUCCUGGAAACAGCAGACAGCUCCUUAGUUUCUUACUCUAGACUUGCUUUUUAUGGGCUGCCCCAGGGUGGAUGAUACUUCCUCAGGCUGCAUCCCAUUGCUUCAUGAAAUAAUUCUGUAUCCUCACA